UACGUAGGGGGCUAGCGUUGUCCGGAAUCAUUGGGCGUAAAGAGCGUGUAGGCGGCCCGGUAAGUCCGCUGUGAAAGUCGGGGGCUCAACCCUCGAAUGCCGGUGGAUACUGUCGGGCUAGAGUGCGGAAGAGGCGAGUGGAAUUCCUGGUGUAGCGGUGAAAUGCGUAGAGAUCCGGAGGAACACCAGCGGCGAAGGCGGCAUCCUGGACUGGUCCUGACACUCAGGAGCGAAAGCGUGGGGAGCGAGUCCGG
rnacentral:rRNA from 1 species